rnacentral:rRNA from 1 species
UCUUGGUUCAGAACGAACGCUGGCGGCAGGCUAACACAUGCAAGUCGAGCGCCCGCAAGGGGAGCGGCAGACGGGUGAGUAACGCGUGGGAAGUCUACCCAUCUCUACGGAAUAACUCAGGGAAACUUGUGCUAAUACCGUAUACGCCCUUAGGGGGAAAGAUUUAUCGGAGAUGGAUGAGCCCGCGUUGGAUUAGCUAGUUGGUGGGGUAAAGGCCUACCAAGGCGACGAUCCAUAGCUGGUCUGAGAGGAUGAUCAGCCACACUGGGACUGAGACACAGCCCAGACUCCUACGGGAGGCAGCAGUGGGGAAUAUUGGACAAUGGGCGCAAGCCUGAUCCAGCCAUGCCGCGUGAGUGAUGAAGGCCCUAGGGUUGUAAAGCUCUUUCACCGGGGAAGAUAAUGACGGUACCCGGAGAAGAAGCCCCGGCUAACUUCGUGCCAGCCGCCGC